AUGAUCCAAACAUUUGUAUCACUGUGGUACACGUUCGGUGGAGGAACCAGACUGGAAGUUAACUGUAAAGUCCCCCCCUCCCUGACGCUGCUGCCUCCCUCCGUGGAGGAGCUGCAGCAGGGGAAGGCCACGCUCAUGUGCCUGGCCAACAAGGGCUUCCCCUCAGACUGGAGUCUGUCCUGGAAGGUGGACGGCAGCAGCAGCAUCAGCAACGGGGAGCAGAGCAGGAGCCCCGGGGUGCUGCAGAAGGACGGCCACUACAGCUGGAGCAGCACCCUGAGGCUCCCUGCAGACCAGUGGAGGAAGGUGGUCUCUGUGACCUGUGAGGCCAGCCAGGGCUCCCAGACUCCGCUCUCAGAGACACUGAGGAGAGACCAGUGUUCCCAGUCCUGACCUGACUCACUGGGACUCUCACACUGCUUUCACUCUCUCUCUGCUCUCUGGCUUUUCUCUGUCUCUUUAUUUCUACCAUGAGACCAACUCAACAUCAUUAUUCUUCAGCUUCUCGUGUUUUUCAUGUUUCAACACAAUAAAGUUUUUUCUUCAAGUCAAA